GGAAAUAUCUGGGGUCUCUGGAGUGGUGCAAGGAGAACCAAAAGCCCAACUCUCUGACUCUCUAGUGUUUCUCUUUGGCUUUCCAACAGGUGACUUCUUGUUUCUAAUAAACUAGUAGUACUCAUUUUUAAGACUUUGUUCAGUGACAGUUUAUGGAGGCUGAAUAUAUGACCAGCAGAAAUCACGAACAUAUCCAAGUUAUGGGUUUGAGUGCCGCGGACAGUAAGAAGCACAUCAGUGGAAAGCACUAUAAAUAUUUCUACUCAAUUUCCUGCACUGUUGGGUUGUAUAACACUCCCUAGCUCUUUGUGAACAGUUUACUAACUCUUUAUAGACUAGCCACGACUGAACUCCUGGAUUUAUGUGGGACCAACAAGUUGCUGCAGGCCUGGAGCAUCGCCCAGGCUGAGGUUUUGCUGUUUUGAUUCUACGAAAUUAUCUGUCUUCUGCUCAAACAUAAAGCUCCCUGAGGCUCGGGAACACAGCCACGAAGAAGCAGGAGCACAUUUGAUAAAGACUCAGCAAUGCCUUUGCUGGCAGAGCUCGACGCAAGACGCGUAUUUAUUUUUUUAUUUAUUUAUCUUGGAUUACUCCAACAAGGCCGGUGUCCAAUCCAGGACCUUUGGGCACCCUCACACAUCGUUAACAACAUGCUGGUGCCCCAGCAGUGAUAAAGUCAUCGUUUGGCACGGGCUCAGUGGUCAGAAACUGUCCUCAGCUUUACCGCAACCAGCCUUUGGGACUCUCCAAGCACCUUAACAAAGCAGAAGGGGAUUUUUGGUGUCUGUUCCACCAUCAUCCACCAGUUUCAGAAACGUCAAGCGCUUGCAAGGCCUUUCCUUCAGCUCUCUGAAAUCACUUUUUUGGGAAUAAGCUCUAAGAAAUGGGAACGUUCCUGCUGGGAAUGGAAGCACACAAGGGAUCUUUUUUCGGCUGGGAGUGGCUCGCAGUGCUGCUUGCAGUUGCACAAGGGGUAGUUCUUCUGCAGGGGGACUGUUUAAAGGGAAAGAUUUGAUAAAGCCACGAUUCCUACAGCUCCGCUGUUUUUUUCUUCAUCAGGAUAGUGAUUGAAAACACCAGUUGGCUGCGUGGACUCCCAGUUUUGGGAGAAGUUCAUCUGACAGAUUUUCUGCCGGGAAAGAAACUGCCCAGCAUGUCAGAGAGUCCUGGCAAGCACCAUGAGACGCAGGAAAUAAGAGCAGGGAGAGAUCACAAAGCUCUGGAGAAGCUGCUCUUCUGCCAAGCACUCUGAAGAAAGCCAAACAUGGUUGAACACUGUGGAAAAAGAGUUGCCUCCACUUUUUGGAGCAGGACGGCAAGAAAAAAGGUCAUCUGUCCACCGAAGGCUCCCCCAGGUUCUACAGCACAAGCUGACAUCCCCAGUGGGAGGUGCUUACUCAUAGAAUCACUGAAGUUGAAAAAGAUCUCCAAGAUCAAACUCAACCCCAACCCAUCCCACCAUGCCCACUGACCAUGUCCCCAAGUGCCACAUCUCCAUGGUUCUUAAACACCUCGAGGUGUCCUCUUUCUUUAUGCAGCACCACAAGUUCUCACUAAUCCAGAUGCUAGUUAUGCAGUUCACCAACUCAAACAAUUACAAUAGCAUGAAGACAAGAAUAUGCCCAUGUUGGCUUCUUGUGCUGGAUCUUAAGCCUUCUCAUGUGUGAAAUCUGUUCUUCAGUUCAGUUCAAAAUUGCUGCUUAAUGCUUCUUUUUUUCUGUUUUGACAAGGUUUGCUUAAACCUGGGAAGAUCAUGUGUCAAACAGAUAUCGCAUCCUCAGGACAACCAUCAGAUUAAGUAUCCAGUGGCAAAUUCCACACCAAGCAGAUUUUGAGAAGGAGUUUGACAGACUUCCUUAUGAUUCAUUUUGGGACACACUGAAGUAUUGGGGUAUUCCAAGAAAAACAUUCGACAUCAGUACAUCUUGACCCAGCCUCUGUGGGUCAAGAAAAGCAGUCCCACUCCUUUUCUGUGGGUUGAAACAGAUACUAAUGUUAGAUAAGGAUGAAUUCCAUCACCCAUCCGAUGUGGCACCAAAUCCUCUAAGGGAAAGCAGAGACAGCUCUGGAGCAGAUCAUCAAAAUAAGUCAUCUUUGCUGAUGACAGCGCUCUUGAGCAACAGUUCAACUGCUCAGCAGGAAGAAACCAAUCCAUUGUCCACAUCACAAAAUCCGAUGUGAGGUUAAUAGCUUGCGAUGAAAAUAAGACAAUGAGAUUCCCAGAAGCUUCCAGUUCAAGGCAUGCCUUUUUGAGGGCAGAAGGUUAUAAAAGGUGAACUUAUUUAUAUGCCUUGGCAGAAUCAUGAUCAGUGUGGAAAUUCAGCAGGAAAUAAUGUCACCCAUUGGCACAGUAGCUGCUGAUAUUCAGGAGCUUGGAUCGCUGAAAACCUACAAUUGACAGAUCAAACCCUGGCCCUUCAGCUCAGACAUCCUUUCCACACAGAUGUGAGUGCUGGAAAUCCACCAAAGGUAUAAAGAAGAUACCUCAGUGCUGUGGAAAGCAAAGGCCCAAGGAAAACAAAGCAAAACCCUGAGGAUUAAAUGGAAUGAGUUUGUAAGAAAUACUGGGAUUCCUCAAACUUCUGACAACCCCUUAUCUCCAUUGGGAUAUAUGCAAGCUAUGCAGAAAACGCAAAGCCAGAGUGUCUGCCACAGCAGGUGGGACACUAAGCAGCAGGAGAAGCAUAGGAAAGAAGACGUUGAAAGAAAAAGAAACAUCACAACCCACUCAAAGGGUGAAAAAUAGGGGAGCUGUAGACAAACCAAACCUUGGAAACAGCCUCCCAAAUCUGGGGUCAGUCAGGUCAAUGACAACAGGGCAUACCAAGCAACUCCCAGCCUGGCUAGGAUGCAAAGAAGAAAAAGUCAUGAUUUGAGAGUCAUGUUUCUUCAAAGCAGGAUCCUCCUUCAGCUCUGGAACAGGUAUGUGGGUUAAAACAAGCUUUGCCUACACUGCAAAGACCAUAUGCUUGAGGGCACCGUGCCUCAUUCAUUGAUGCUUUCUGCAGUUCAAAGCGGCU
ensembl:lncRNA